rnacentral:rRNA from 1 species
GGACUACUGGGGUAUCUAAUCCGUCUUGCUCCCCACGCUUUCGUGCCUCAACGUCAGGCACCGAAUAGUUAACUGCCUUCGCCGUUUGGUGUUCCUCUAUAUAUUUGAGCAUUUUACCGCUACACAUAGAAUUCCGUUAACCUCUCCGGUCCUCUAGUUCAACAGUAUUACUAACUUCCACGGGGUUGGGCCCCGAUUUACCACCAGUAACUUGUUAAACCACCUACGCACACUUUACGCCCAGUAAUUCCGGAUAACGUUUGCCACCUAUGUCUUACCGCGGCUGCUGGCAC